GCUGCACUCCACCAGAACAGGACAUGGGUUAUUACUCAGUACAAAGGAGACGCACUGGAAACUAUUCACUUGACACAUCUUACAGUAUCAUAACUCAGACAGGUGUUUAAUGAACGGGCUUUUUGAACAGUAAGAUGUUCUGCUCAACAGUUGAUGGGAACGAGAUGGAAGAUUCCAGACAUAACAGCCUAAGUCCCCUGCACAUCCCCACAGAUGUCUUAAAACUGGUGAUCCCCUCUUCCGCUGACACCCACGCUGACCCUGGUGAUGAUGUUACUCUGUCAUGUCACCUCUCCAUGGAGACCAGCGCGGUUGCCAUGGAAGUGAAGUGGCUGAGGAUGGCCGACUGUAUUUACGUGUAUAAGAAUGGACAGGGGACAGAGGGGAGAGGAUACGAGGGCAGAGUGAGCAUCCUUACUGAGGACCUGCAGAGAGGAGACGUCUCUCUGAGACUCAGAGAUGUCACACACUCAGAGAGUGGGCUGCACAGGUGCCAAGUCAGUCAUGGAGACUUGGAACUGGAGGAGACACUGUGGCUAUAUGUCAAAACGACCAAAGGUGCAUCUCAAAGAAUUACAAUAUCGUGGUGGAAAAGUCCAUUGCCCUGCCCAGACAGAGAGAUUGAAGGCUGAGGAUACCAUUGCUGGUGUUUUGACUUAAUUAGCUGAUGAGAGCUCAUCUCAGAUGGAAAAGUUCCUCUCAGGAGAGUUAAUAGUGCAACUGUAUACAUCAAACCGAAUUUGGUAAGGCGGGGCAGCAGUGAGACUCCUCCAGAGCAUCGGUCCGUCCCCGCGCUGAGGCCACGGCGGCUGAGGAGGGACAGCAUCAGACAGUGGCGGCAGAAAACACCAAGGAGAGCAUGGAGCAGUGUGGGAUGACCAGUGGAGUAGCCCCCAGUGUACUGGAGAUCAGUUUAGAUGAGAUCCAACUCCAUUGCCGUUUAAAACGCAUGUACAGUGACUUAGUUGAAGAAAAAAAUUAUAUAUAAAAUAAUAUAUAUGGUAAUAGAUGGUUGGAAAUAUGUAAAAACGAUUGAGGAACUGACUAGAAAGACCUUGCUGGUAUACAGUAAUAUGAACUACGUUCAGAAACAAGAUAAAAUGGCAUUUUACAACGGAAGUUCGGGAAGAGCAUGACUGAAUUUGCCAAGCCUCCUUCAAUCAGUCAGGUUGCUUAUUUGCAGUAACGGCGUUACUCUGCUCGCAACCUGCCCUUACGCCUCCGGUCUUCCAUAGGCAUUAGGCAAAGAAUAAAGGGGUGCACGGCGGAAUCCAGUCUGACUCCUGCCUGUGCAGACGACGACGCAAAGCACUUCAGGACCCUGGCCAGAUACUUUGCCAAACAUGCUCUUCUACAGUAUUAUGCUUUUAUAUUAUGUCUUUGUGCAAAUUUCGGAACGUGAACUAGUGAACCCAACCCGUUAUUAUCACGACCUUCAGGCCGUUUCAGAAGGUAGAUUGUAUGUCUUGGGAGCCUUUGUUACUAAUAAUGAUAAGUUAAUAAUAAUGUAAGAUACAUUUUCCUACAGGAUUGUACAGUAUAUCUAUCUGGAUUGUGAGAUUCUAUUUCAGAAUGUGUAGGUUAAAGUUCUUCCAGGAAAACACUACACCUGCUCUCAGGCCUUCUGAUACCCCUUCCCCACUUAAUUCCACUCACAUCAGCUCAACUCUCUCCAAAUGUUUGGGACGUUAUUUUCUCAGCAUUGCUUCUCCGUUUGACUCUGGGAUUUUAUCAAACUAUGGACAGGGUGCAAUUAGGAUUGUGAAGUUCCUUUUCUAGAUUAAGUGUUGAGACACUUAAGACAGUGUUGUGUCCUUGUGGUAGCACACCUGUUGUUAAUCUCAUUUAAUGUUGUGGAUGUAUCUGUCCACUUUCACUUCAAUUGUAGCAUUUGUAAGCUCCUCAACUGAAAAUGAACAAGGUCCCGGUGUUUUUCUGACAAAAUUGAAAGUCCAGAAUUAAAACCCUCCAUUCUA